rnacentral:rRNA from 1 species
CUACGGGUUGCUGCAGUCGAGAAUAGUCUACAAUGGACGAAAGUCUGAUAGUGCGACGCCGCGUGGAUGAAGAAGCAUUUCGGUGUGUAAAGUCCUUUUCUGUGUGAGCAAUGUUUUCCAGGUUAAUAGCUUGGAGAAAGCGAUAUUAACACAGGAAUAAGCUCCAGCUAACUCCGUGCCAGCAGCCGCGGUAACACGGGGGGAGCAAGCGUUGUCCGGAAUUACUAGGCGUAAAGGGUAAGUAGGCGGAACUGUAAGUCAGAUGUUAAAGGCACCGGCUCAACCGGUGUAUGGCAUUUGAUACUGUAAUUCUAGAGUAAGGUGGGGGAAGACGGAAUUCCUGGUGUAGCGGUGGAAUGCGCAGAUAUCAGGAGGAACACCAGAGGCGCAGGCGGUCUUCUAUACCAUUACUGACGCUCAAUUACGAAGGUGUGGGUAUCAAACAGGAUUAGAUACCCUUGUAGUC